AUUGAACGCUGGCGGCAUGCUUUACACAUGCAAGCCGAACGGCAGCGCGGGCUUCGGCCUGGCGGCGAGUGGCGAACGGGUGAGUAAUGCAUCGGAACGUGCCCAGUAGUGGGGGAUAGCCCGGCGAGAGCCGGAUUAAUACCGCAUACGACCUGAGGGUGAAAGCGGGGGACCGAAAGGCCUCGCGCUAUUGGAGCGGCCGAUGUCGGAUUAGCUAGUUGGUGGGGUAAAGGCUUACCAAGGCGACGAUCCGUAGCUGGUCUGAGAGGACGACCAGCCACACUGGGACUGAGACACGGCCCAGACUCCUACGGGAGGCAGCAGUGGGGAAUUUUGGACAAUGGGGGCAACCCUGAUCCAGCCAUGCCGCGUGCGGGAAGAAGGCCUUCGGGUUGUAAACCGCUUUUGUUCGGGAAGAAAUCCUCUGGGCUAAUACCCCGGGGGGAUGACGGUACCGGAAGAAUAAGCACCGGCUAACUACGUG
rnacentral:rRNA from 1 species